rnacentral:rRNA from 1 species
GACGAACGCUGGCGGCGUGCUUAACACAUGCAAGUCGAACGGUGAAGCGCCUUCCUUUUUGGUGGGUGUGGAUGAGUGGCGAACGGGUGAGUAACACGUGAGUAACCUGCCCCCUUCUUCUGGAUAACCGCAUGAAAGUGUGGCUAAUACGGGAUAUUCUGGGUCUGUCGCAUGAUGGGUCUGGGAAAGAUAUUGUUUCGGUGGGGGACGGGCUCGCGGCCUAUCAGCUUGUUGGUGGGGUGAUGGCCUACCAAGGCGGUGACGGGUAGCCGGCCUGAGAGGGUGGACGGUCACACUGGGACUGAGACACGGCCCAGACUCCUACGGGAGGCAGCAGUGGGGAAUAUUGCACAAUGGGCGCAAGCCUGAUGCAGCGACGCCGCGUGAGGGAUGGAGGCCUUCGGGUUGUGAACCUCUUUCGCCAGUGAAGCAGGCCUGCCUCGUUUGUGGGUGGGUUGACGGUAGCUGGAGAAGAAGCGCCGGCUAACUACGUG